UUCAUUCUGACUCUUUUACGAGGUGUCCAUUGUGAGGUUCACCUGGUAGAGUCUGAGGGUGGUGUGAGACAGCCUGGAGGAUCUCUUCCCCUCUCCUGCAAACCUUCUGGAUUCACCUUCAGCAUCUAUUACAUUAGCUGGGUCCGCCAGGCUCCAGGGAAGGGACUCGAGUGGCACGCAUCUAUUUAUAGUAACGUAGGAAAAACAUUCUAUGCAGACUCUGUGAAAGGCAGAUUCACCAUCUCCCUGAACUACAGCAACGACGUGCUGCAUCUGCAAAUGAAUUCCCUUAAAGCUGAGGACACAGCCAUGUAUUACUGUGCAAGAGACACAGUGAGAAAAAGGAGUACGAGAGCACACAUAAAACUCCUCAUUCAGACAGGCCACAUGAGAGUGACUUAG